GACGAACGCUGGCGGCGCGCCUAACACAUGCAAGUCGAACGAGCGAGAGAGAGCUUGCUUUCUCGAGCGAGUGGCGAACGGGUGAGUAACGCGUGUGGAACCUGCCUCAAAGAGGGGGACAACAGUUGGAAACGACUGCUAAUACCGCAUAAGCCCACGGUGCCGCAUGGCACAGAGGGAAAAGGAGCAAUCCGCUUUGAGAUGGCCUCGCUUCCGAUUAGCUAGUUGGUGAGGUAAUGGCCCACCAAGGCGACGAUCGGUAGCCGGACUGAGAGGUUGAACGGCCACAUUGGGACUGAGACACGGCCCAGACUCCUACGGGAGGCAGCAGUGGGGAAUAUUGCACAAUGGGGGAAACCCUGAUGCAGCGACGCCGCGUGGAGGAAGAAGGUCUUCGGAUUGUAAACUCCUGUUGUUGGGGAAGAUAAUGACGGUACCCAACAAGGAAGUGACGGCUAACUACGUG
rnacentral:rRNA from 1 species